AUUAUGGCUCAGGAUGAACGCUGGCGGCGUGCCUAACACAUGCAAGUCGAACGGAGUCAUAAAGCGGAAGUUUCGGAUGGAAGAAUUAUGACUUAGUGGCGGACGGGUGAGUAACGCGUGGGUAACCUGCCUUGUACCGGGGGAUAACACUUAGAAAUAGGUGCUAAUACCGCAUAAGCGCACAGCUUCGCAUGGAGCAGUGUGAAAAACUCCGGUGGUACAAGAUGGACCCGCGUCUGAUUAGCUAGUUGGUGGGGUAGUGGCCCACCAAGGCGACGAUCAGUAGCCGGCCUGAGAGGGUGAUCGGCCACAUUGGGACUGAGACACGGCCCAAACUCCUACGGGAGGCAGCAGUGGGGAAUAUUGCACAAUGGGGGAAACCCUGAUGCAGCGACGCCGCGUGAGUGAAGACGUAUUUCGGUAUGUAAAGCUCUAUCAGCAGGGAAGAAAAUGACGGUACCUGACUAAGAAGCCCCGGCUAACUACGUGCCAGCAGCCGC
rnacentral:rRNA from 1 species